UACCUACGGGACGCAGCAGUGGGGAAUAUUGCACAAUGGGGGGAACCCUGAUGCAGCGACGCCGCGUGGGUGAAGGAGUGUUUCGGUAUGUAAAGCCCUAUCAGCAGGGAAGAACAAUGACGGUACCUGACUAAGAAGCACCGGCUAAAUACGUGCCAGCAGCCGCGGUAAUACGUAUGGGGCGAGCGUUGUCCGGAAUCACUGGGCGUAAAGGGCGCGUAGGCGGUAAUAUAAGUCAGAUGUGAAAGGUGGGGGCUCAACCCCUAGAGUGCAACUGAUACUGUAUAACUUGAGUGUGAGAGAGG
rnacentral:rRNA from 1 species